rnacentral:tRNA from 1 species
GUCUUUGUAGCGCAAUGGAUAGCGCGUUGGACUUCUAAUCCAAAAGUCGUGGGUUCGAAUCCUUCCUGGGAUG